rnacentral:rRNA from 1 species
UACGUAGGGCGCAAGCGUUGUCCGGAAUUAUUGGGCGUAAAGAGCUCGUAGGCAGUUUGUCGCGUCUGCUGUGAAAACCUAAGGCUCAACCUUGGGCUUGCAGUGGGUACGGGCAGACUAGAGUGCGGUAGGGGUGACUGGAAUUCCUGGUGUAGCGGUGGAAUGCGCAGAUAUCAGGAGGAACACCGAUGGCGAAGGCAGGUCACUGGGCCGCAACUGACGCUGGAGGAGCGGAAAAGCAUGGGGAGCGAACAGG